rnacentral:misc_RNA from 2 species
AACGCACAUUGCGCCCGGCAGUACUCUGCCGGGCAUGCCUGUUCGAGCGUCAUUUCAACCCUCAAGCCCUGCUUGGUGUUGGGGCCCCACGGCUGCCGUGGGCCCUGAAAGGAAGUGGCGGGCUCGCUACAACUCCGAGCGUAGUAAUUCAUUAUCUCGCUUAGGGCGUUGGGCGGCGCUCCAGCCGUUAAAGAACCAUCUUUAACUCAAGGUUGACCUCGGAUCAGGUAGGAAUACCCGCUGAACUUAA